rnacentral:rRNA from 1 species
CCUACGGGUGGCAGCAGUGAGGAAUAUUGGUCAAUGGGCGCGAGCCUGAACCAGCCAUGUCGCGUGAAGGAUGACGGCCCUACGAGUUGUAAACUUCUUUUGUCAGGGAGCAAUUGAGUCCACGUGUGGGCUUAGCGAGAGUACCUGCAGAAAAAGCAUCGGCUAACUCCGUCCCAGCAGCCGCGGUAAUACGGAGGAUGCGAGCGUUCUCCGGAUUUAUUGGGUUUAAAGGGAGCGUAGGGGGAUGGUUAAGUCAGUUGUGAAAGUUUGCGGCUCAACCGUAGAAUUGCAGUUGAUACUGGCAGUCUUGAGUACAGUAGAGGUGGGCGGAAUUCGUGGUGUAGCGGUGAAAUGCUUAGAGAUCACGAAGAACUCCGAUUGCGAAGGCAGUUCACUGGACUGCAACUGACACUGAGGCUCGAAAGCGUGGGUAUCAAACAGGAUUAGAUACCCCGGUAGUC